rnacentral:lncRNA from 1 species
UGAAUAGCAGCAGCACCUCCCAGUUCCAAGAGGACUUGAUCGUCGCAAGGAUCUUUGAGGAUGGUGGAAGGGAGACGAGGGGGGAACGAGUAUUUGUAUAGCAGUAGCACCUCCCAGUUCCAAGACUUGGUCGUCGCAUGGGAAACAUGAGUUCUCACCGGCGGGUUCGGGUCGUCUCUUUCACGCGAACGGAGGGUUCAUCUUCUUUCGCGACGUGGACCGCUGGAUCGCG